GGUUUGAUUCUGGCCUUUAGAUUGAACGCUGGCGGAUGCUUUACACAUGCAAGUCGAACGGCAGCACGGACUUCGGUCUGGUGGCGAGUGGCGAACGGGUGAGGAAGAUCGGAACGUGCCUAGUAGCGGGAUAACGAUGAAAGCAGUAUAAUACUGGUUAUCUUCUGGGGCGGGGACCUUCGGGCCUCGCACUAUUAGAGUGGCCGAUAUCGGAUUAGCUAGUUGGUGGGGUAACGGCUCAAGGCGACGAUCCGUAGCUGGUUUGAGAGGACGACCAGCCACACUGACUGAGACAUUGCCCAGACUCCUACGGGAGGCAGCAGUGGGAAUUUGAUACCGGGGAAACCUCGAUUCAGCCACCCCUGCGUGUGCGAUGAAGGCCUUCGGUUGGGAAGCACUUUGGUGAGGAAAGAAAACGGCACGGGAUAAUACCCUCGUGCAACUGACGGUACCUGCAGAAUAAGCACCGCUAACUUCAUGCGCCAGUGCAGCCGCGGUAAUAUGAAAAGCGUUAACGGAAUUACUGGGGCGCAAGUGCAGGCGGUUCGGAAAGAAAGAUGUGAAAUCCCAGAGCUUAACUUUGAACCGCAUUUUUAACUACCGAGCUAGAGUGUGUCAGAGGGAGGUGGAACGCGCAGCGGUGAAAUGCGUGAUAUGGAGGAACACCGAUGGCGAAGGCAGCCUCCUGGGAUAACAAUAUCGCUCAUGCACGAAAGCGUGGGACACAACAGGAUUAGAUACCCCCUGGUAGUCCACGCCCAAAUGAUGUCAACUAGCUGUUGGGGCUUCGGCCUUGGUAGCGCAGCUAAUGCAGUGUGUUGACCGCCUCGGGGAGUACGGUCGCAAGAUUAAAAACUCAAAGAAUGACGGGGACCCGCACAAGCGGUGGAUGAUGUGGAUUAAUUCGAUGCAACGCGAAAACCUUACCUACCCUUGACAUGUCUGAACCUGAAGAGAUUUGGGAGUGCCUGCAAGGAGAACCGGAACACAGGUGCUGCAUGGCUGUCGCUUCGCUCGUGUCGUGAGAUGCUGGGUUAAGUCCCGCAACGAGCGCGCAACUCCUUGUCAUUAGUUGCUACGAAAGGGCACUCGACGAGACUGUUAAGAUAAAACCGAGAAGGUGGGGAUGACGUCAAGGUCCUAUGGUUCCCAGGUAGGGCUUCACACGUCAUACAAUGGUCGGGACAGAGGGUCGCCAACCUGCGAGGGGGAGCCAAUCCCAGAAACCCGAUCGUAGUCCGGAUCGCAGUCGCAACUCGACUGGUGAAGUCGGAAUCGCUAGUAAUCGCGAUCAGCAUGUCGCGGUGAAUACGUUCCCGGGUCUUGUACACACCGCCCGUCACACCAUGGAGUGGGUUUUACCAGAAGAGUUAGCCUAACCCCCGUAAGCGAGGGCGAUUACCACGGUAGAUCUAUGACUGGGGUGAAGUCGUAACAAGGUAG
rnacentral:rRNA from 1 species